rnacentral:ribozyme from 1 species
AAAGGGACAGGAAAAAUGUUUAAGUGGGAUCCACACAAACAUGAUAUUAUUGGUUUUUCAUUUCACUUCUCUGAGCUUUAGCAAAGUCAA